GACGAACGCUGGCGGCGUGCCUAAUACAUGCAAGUCGAGCGGACCAAAGGGAGCUUGCUCCUGGAGGUUAGCGGCGAACGGGUGAGUAACACGUGGGCAACCUGCCUGUAAGACUGGGAUAACAUCGAGAAAUCGGUGCUAAUACCGGAUAAUAAAAAGAACUGCAUGGUUCUUUUUUGAAAGAUGGUUUCGGCUAUCACUUACAGAUGGGCCCGCGGCGCAUUAGCUAGUUGGUGAGGUAACGGCUCACCAAGGCGACGAUGCGUAGCCGACCUGAGAGGGUGAUCGGCCACACUGGGACUGAGACACGGCCCAGACUCCUACGGGAGGCAGCAGUAGGGAAUCUUCCGCAAUGGACGAAAGUCUGACGGAGCAACGCCGCGUGAGUGAUGAAGGUUUUCGGAUCGUAAAACUCUGUUGUUAGGGAAGAACAAGUGCCGUUCGAAAGGCGGCACCUUGACGGUACCUAACGAGAAAGCCACGGCUAACUACGUGCCAGCAGCCGCGGUAAAGUC
rnacentral:rRNA from 1 species